rnacentral:rRNA from 1 species
UGGCGGCGUGCCGUAACACAUGCAAGUCGAGCGGAGACGAUGCGACGGACCGUGAAGAUUCGGUUGGAUGGGAAGAUGUAUGUUUUAGCGGCGGACGGGUGAGUAACGCGUGAGCAACCUGUCCCUUACAGGGGGAUAACACAGCGAAAGUUGUACUAAUACCGCAUAAGACCACAGGGCCACAUGGUCCAGGGGUCAAAGGAGCAAGUCCGGUAAGGGGUGGGCUCGCGUCCGAUUAGAUAGUUGGUGAGGUAACGGCCCACCAAGUCGACGAUCGGUAGCCGACCUGAGAGGGUGAUCGGCCACAUUGGGACUGAGACACGGCCCAAACUCCUACGGGAGGCAGCAGUGGGGAAUAUUGGGGCCAAUGGGGGAAACCCUGACCCAGCAACGCCGCGUGAGGGAAGAAGGUUUUCGGAUCGUAAACCUCUGUCCUUGGUGAAGAGGAAGAGACGGUAGCCAAGGAGGAAGCCCCGGCUAACUACGUGCCAGCCGCGGC